GCUCUGUGAAGAAUUAUUUUUAUUAUUAAUUUUUUAAUGCAAAAAAUAUAUGUUCUUGAUAAUUGAGUUGUAACCAUGUUUGGAGCUUGCAUUUUGUAUUAUAUUAUCCUGAAUGUUUGUAAUUGAUAUGUACGAAAAUAUUAUUGUCAAUAGAGGUAUUUUGAAAUAACAAAUAACAACAAAUAUGAUUACAUGAACUACCCCAACAUAUUAU
rnacentral:lncRNA from 1 species